rnacentral:rRNA from 1 species
CCUACGGGAGGCAGCAGUAGGGAAUAUUGCUCAAUGGGGGAAACGCUGAAGCAGCAACGCCGCGUGGAGGAUGAAGGUUCUCGGAUUGUUAACCCCCUUUGUUAGAGGAGAAAAUGACGGUAUCUAACGAAUAAGCACCGGCUAACUCCGUGCCAGCAGCCGCGGUAAUACGGUGGGUGCCAGCGUUACUCGGAAUCACUGGGCGUAAAGCGCGCGUAGGCGGGAUAGCAAGUCAGAUGUGAAAUCCUAGGGCUUAACCAUAGAACUGCAGUUGAAACUGUGAUUCUAGAGUAUGGGAGAGGUAGGUGGAAUUCUUGGUGUAGGGGUAAAAUCCGUAGAGAUCAAGAGGAAUACUCAUUGCGAAGGCGACCUGCUAGAACAUAACUGACGCUGAUGCGCGAAAGCGUGGGGAGCGAACAGGAUUAGAUACCCUAGUAGUC